AUUUUACGAGGAAAAUAAGAAUACAACAAAACCCCAAACCCUAAUGAGAGUGGCAACAACUAAUUAUAAGUCUUGGUCGUCACCCCUCGAUGCACCCUCUAAUGGGCCUAAACACGAUACACGGUCCAACGGACCAAAAAGAUAGUGUCACAACACCUUGGCAGAUUUUGGACGCUAACUUGUUUUGACAAUUUCUAUUGAUUCUGAAAGCCUUUUGAUGUGGAACUAGUUGCAUUGGUUUUCUUAUAAAUUUAGCUUUCUAUGCACAUAUGGAUCGUCCAACACUGAGUCCGGAUGUGCCUGUGUGACCAGUUUUAUGACAGAGUGGUCCUAGAACCCGAGGACUCCAAUUUUAGUUGGAGUGGGUCUCCACUAUAAGAAAGAUGAAUUGGACACUCGUGCUAGACCUCCUCCACUCCUUGGCUUGUACAUGAUGGAGUGAUGUCCUCAUCGGAUACUGACAUGUGACCCAUCCUUUGGCUCUUUUCUCAUUAAUCCUUGGAAAAUUAUAGAAUCACCAAAACUCAUGAAAAUUGUUAGUUUAAACCUCUAAGUCUAUGGUGGUGAUUGAUUUAUGCCCUUUUUACUCUCUUGUUGACAAAUAAAAAUGAUAGUUAUCUACCAUCAACAAGCCCCCAUAAGCUUAACUAUGCAUGUCCCGAGCAAAACAACAAAUGAAAAGAUGGAUCAGGAGCUGCUUCAAUGCUUAAUUUCAUGCCUUAAAAAUACAGAUGUAUUCAAAUAGGAAUUCUUCUUCAAAUAGAGUGGACUAUUUGACUUUCAAACUUACUCAUGUUACUUUUAAUCAUGGGCUUUUACCUUCACUUAAAUCUGGAGCAAUUGAAAGACAGAAUGAUCAAGUCAAGCACUAUAUCUCAAGCUCUUCGUUCCACCUCUAUUCUGAAGUUUUUAUAAAUAUUUCAAAUAAAACUCAGAGUUCCUUUUGUAUGACUCUCACAAGUCUCAUAAUAUGUGGUAUUUUUGGAUCCUUACUUGAGGUAGUAAAAUAGUUAUGCCUUUCCUCUCUCACCCUAUCACUAAUAAAGCUUAUGUGGAGUUUCAUAGGUAUGGAGAUAGCUUAUACAUACUUGCAACACUUAUAUUGUCUAAUCAAACAAUGGAUCCAGAGGAACUCAUCAUACAAUCAAAUCAAGAUGUUCAUGUGUGUGGGUAUCUAAGUGGUAAAGGCUAAGAUAUGGUAGAGAAUGUAAGUGGUAGAAUGCUCCAUCAUUUUGAAGAUAACUUCUCUCUUCUUCCUUUCUCUUCCUUUUCUUUUUUUGUUUGACACUUGUCAUAAUUUGUCUUUCGUUUUGGCAGCCCAACACUCUUUUGCAAUAAGAACUUCUGAGAGGAAUAAUGAUAAAAACUUGGAGCAUUUAUUUUGAGGUUCUCACGGAUGUUGAAGAGGCCUAUGCCUCUAAGUUCUAGUUCUCAUGGUCUUGUCCUCGUCGGAGAUGAGUCAAAGUGUGACUGUCUCCUAUUGCCAUUGAUGCUGUUCCUACAUCAUCUUUAUUUGGGCAGCUUGAUCUUCUUGUAUGGUGUGGAGGGUGUUGUCAGUGCGAUGGCAAAAUGCUAGUUCAUAGCGUUGUUGAGUAUAGUGGAAUCUAGCAUCGGACAUUCGUCCUUGCUGAAAUUCAUGGUGUGCUUCUGAUGAGGAUGCCCCAUGGGGGUCAUAUGUGUAUCUUGCUUCUUCUUGAGGUCGACCAUAUGGUCGAUUUUGCCAUCGAUCUCCAUCUCCUUGGGGCCAUGCAUCUUCUUUCUGCUAAGGAAUGGGAUACUCCAAUGAAUUCCUCAGGACACAGAGAUUGGGCGUACCCCAGCCAGAGUAGCUAGUGUGUGCUGGUCUCUCCGAUCCAGGGUCAGCACCGUACCACUGUGGUUCAGGUUUUAUGCCAUCCUUGCAGAGGCUGCUCUCUAAGGUGCUUGAGAAUUUACUGGUUCUGCCUGAAACUCAAUAUGAUAUGAGUUUACAUAAUAUAAGCCCAUUUCUAGGUUAGGUAACCAGAUGCGGCCUUUAGAAUAACGCAUGUGAAGCCCAUCAUAUUCUCUUUUCAGUAAAUGUGCAUGUCUAAAACAUUCAUAUCCAAUGUAUGGUCGUAAUUCAUCAAUAUAUUCAAAAGAAGCAAUUUCCAAUAGAUCUAAAGCAUAUGUUAUACGAGUGACCAACAAAGUGCAACCAAGACCCCAUCAGGUUAGGUGUAGCUAACCAAUGUUCCACUAAAAGAUGGACUAGAGACUUGUAUCUUUUUAAGGGCUGCAUACAUUAAUUUCAAGUCUCCUUUAAUUUUACGUGGGUCGUCCCGUGGAAAGAAAAAAAGCCCAUACAUUUAGGUAAAAACCAGAGUGUUGGGUGUUCAACAUCACUAGUAUGAGGUUGGAAAAAGAAGUUAUAUUUUUAGAUUUCUUGCCAGAAUUUAUGUUUAUCAAAAUCUUCUAAUGCGGUGUCCAAAAUCUAGUGCAGUAGUGGGCUGAAAUCCAAGGAAGUUACUUAGGUCUCUCCAGCUGCAAGAGAUCUUUUACUGGAAGAGCCUAAAUGUUACUCCUGAUCCAAUAAUUUGUAGGGUGCAGAGAAAUUAAAUUGUUAAAAGUUUCGAUCCUAGCUCAGUAAUGUUCCAAAAAGAUUUUUGAUCCCACAAUUGCAAAAAUAAGGUUAAGCUCAACAUCCACACCAGUCUCCCUUAAAUGUUCAAAAUCAAAUCUAGGAGUAUGGAUAAAAGUUUUACCUUUCAUUUUCUUGUAGAUGUUCUUCUCUUGUUCAUACAUCAGUCCGAGCUAGGAUGCCUUGAUGAGGAUGUUCGGUGGUGGUGCCGAUGAGGAUGUUGGUGCUUGAAAGGCCGACGGAUCAACACUCAUUUCUGGUGCUACUCUUGAUGAACUUUAGGUCGAAUGUCUCGACCCUUGUUGAGUGAAUGCUUUCUUGGCAGACCUCAAAACAUGUUCAUCCUGUAAACUUGACAAAAACACAGCUCAUAGAGAAAGGUUAGGAAAAUAGUUAGCAAUUAUCUAUCCAGAGUUAGUAGUCUAGGAUUAGUCGUUCGAGGAAUAUUUUAGCUUGGAAUUUUGGCAGAACCUCCCCCUAAUUCUUUUUAAUUGUUUAUCUAAACUUUGGACAGUAGGUCCACUAAUCAAACUCUAGUUCUCUAAAAUAUUGCAGCACUACUUUCCUUCCCCUUUCUCUCAAGAUAAAGAAUUACUCUCUCCUUUCUUCUCACUUUCUCACUAUCUCCUUGGCUAAAACUAACACUUUGCUCUCGACACCAGAAUUUCAAAGUUUGGUAGUUGUUCUGCUAUGAGAGUGAGGAG
rnacentral:lncRNA from 1 species